UAGCAAUAAGGCUACACCAAGCAAAGAGAACAGAAGACUGUUGGGUUUAGAGAAAUUCUUCCAAAUGAUGAGCAGCGAAUGAGGUGACCCAAUCAGCAGCUUGAUUCGCCUUCCGAAGGGCAUGCCCAACCUGGACCGCACGACACCCGCAUCAUCCGAUGUGUGUCACCUAAAAUCAGGUGCUCUGCCUUCUCCAGCCUCAUCUCACGUAGGCGCUCAACCAACAAGACUGAGUCUCCUUCCAGAAUGAUGUAGCCAGCCUUCAGAACAUGUCUCACAUAGCCAAACCCCUUCUAUGCAGCCUUGAACUCCGUCCUAAAUGCUGAGACCUCGAAGGAACGACGUUCCCCACCGCAAUCAGCCUAGA
rnacentral:lncRNA from 1 species